rnacentral:snoRNA from 1 species
AUCCUUUUUUGGUUCAUAAGCUUGAUGAUUAGGAAUUCACGCCAAUGCGUGAUGUGACCGCUCAUUAAACCUUGUUACAACGUUCGCACAUUACCUGUCGGACA